GACGAACGCUGGCGGCGUGGAUUAGGCAUGCAAGUCGAACGGUAUCAUCCUUUCGGGGGUGAGAGAGUGGCGAACUGGUGAGUAACACGUAGGUUAUCUACCCUCAAGACGGGGACAACCCAGGGAAACUUGGGCUAAUACCGGAUGUGAGCAACUUUUAGUUGUUUGAAAGGUGGCGUAAGCUGUCGCUUGGGGAUGAGCCUGCGUCCUAUUAGUUAGUUGGUGAGGUAACGGCUCACCUAGGCAAUGAUAGGUAGGCGGCCUUAACGGGUGGUCGCCCACACUGGGAUUGAGAUACGGCCCAGACUCCUACGGGAGGCAGCAGUCGAGAAUAGUCUACAAUGGUCGGAAGACUGAUAGUGCGACGCCGCGUGAACGAUGAAUCCCUUCGGGGUGUAAAAGUUCUUUUAUAUGUGAGCAGUGCUUCUUAUAUUAACAGUAUGGGGAAGAGAUAUUAGCAUAUGAAUAAGCAAACGGCUAAACUCCGUGCCAGCCAGCCGCGGUAAAAA
rnacentral:rRNA from 1 species